UACGAAGGGGGCUAGCGUUGCUCGGAAUCACUGGGCGUAAAGGGUGCGUAGGCGGGUCUUUAAGUCAGAGGUGAAAUCCUGGAGCUCAACUCCAGAACUGCCUUUGAUACUGAGGAUCUUGAGUUCGGGAGAGGUGAGUGGAACUGCGAGUGUAGAGGUGAAAUUCGUAGAUAUUCGCAAGAACACCAGUGGCGAAGGCGGCUCACUGGCCCUAUACUGACGCUGAGGCACGAAAGCGUGGGGAGCAAACAGG
rnacentral:rRNA from 1 species